rnacentral:rRNA from 1 species
AGAUUGAACGCUGGCGGCAUGCCUAACACAUGCAAGUCGAACGGGAGUAGCAAUACUCUAGUGGCGGACGGGUGAGGAAUACGUAGGAAUUUGCCCUUAAGUGGGGGAUAACCCGGGGAAACCCGGAUUAAUACCGCAUGACCUCGAAAGAGCAAAGUGGGGGAUCGCAAGACCUCACGCUUUUGGAGAAGCCUACGUCGGAUUAGCUAGUUGGUGAGGUAAUGGCUCACCAAGGCCGACGAUCCCGUAACUGGUCUGAGAGGAUGAUCAGUCACACCGGAACUGAGACACGGUCCGGACUCCGUACGGGAGGCAGCAGGUACGGGAAUAGUUGGAACAAGUGGGGCCGACGAACGGUCCUAGAUACCCGAG